GACGAACGCUGGCGGCGUGCCUAAUACAUGCAAGUCGAGCGGAACUGGGGGAGCUUGCUCCUUCCAGUUUAGCGGCGGACGGGUGAGUAACACGUGGGCAACCUGCCCUGCAGAUCGGGAUAACUCCGGGAAACCGGUGCUAAUACCGAAUAGUUUGGCGCCUCUCCUGAGGCGCCACGGAAAGACGGUUUCGGCUGUCACUGCAGGAUGGGCCCGCGGCGCAUUAGCGAGUUGGUGGGGUAACGGCCCACCAAGGCGACGAUGCGUAGCGGACCUGAGAGGGUGGCCGGCCACCCUGGGACUGAGACACGGCCCAGACUCCUACGGGAGGCAGCAGUAGGGAAUCUUCCGCAAUGGACGCAAGUCUGACGGAGCAACGCCGCGUGAGUGACGAAGGUUUUCGGAUCGUAAAACUCUGUUGUGAGGGAAGAACACGUACCAACUAACUAUUGGUACCUUGACGGUACCUCACCAGAAAGCCACGGCUAACUACGUGCCAGCCGCCGCCGUAA
rnacentral:rRNA from 1 species